AUUGACCGCUGGCGGCAGGCCUAACACAUGCAAGUCGAGCGAGCGGCGGACGGGUGAGUAAUGUCUGGGAAACUGCCAGAUGGAGGGGGAUAACUACUGGAAACGGUAGCUAAUACCGCAUACCCUCAGAUGUGCCCAGCUGGGAUUAGCUAGUAGGUGGGGUAAUGGCUCACCUAGGCGACGCUCCCUAGCUGGUCUGCGAGGAUGACCAGCAACACUGGAACUGAGACACGGUCCAGAGUACUACGGGAGGCAGCAGUGGGGAAUAUUGCACAAUGGGCGCAAGCCUGAUGCAGCCAUGCCGCGUGUGUGAAGAAGGCCUUCGGGUUGUAAAGCACUUUCAGCGGGGAGGCGUUACUAGAAGAAGAAGCACCGGCUAACUCCGUGCCAGCAGCCGCGGUAAUAC
rnacentral:rRNA from 1 species